ensembl:lncRNA
GGCUACCGGUUCUGUUUCCAAGUUGUUUACCGUCCAAGAAGUUAGAAGAGCAAACAGUAAUUUGAAACCAUAACACACACGGCUUUCUCCAGUUAAGGCAGCGGGGCUGCUCCUCACUGCAGUGCGGAGGCUUCUCUUGUGGAGCACAGACUCCUGAACCCAGGCUCAGUAGUUGCGGUGCCCUGGCUCAGCUGCUCCUUGACAUGUGGAAUCUUCCUGGAUCAGGGAUCAAACCCAUGUCCUCUGCAUUGGCAAGCAGAUUCCCAACCACUGGACUGCCAGGGAAAUCUGAAAAUGCACCACUCUGGAGAAAGUGAAGAGGGUGAGCUUUUUGUUGCAAACACCGUUAUUCAGGUUUUGACUGGCCUUGGCACAAAGACAAUCCCUGCCGAAACACCCAGUGUCAGUUUCCUCACAGUUCCAUCCUUCUGUGGGCUGACCAGGCUAAAACUGGCAGGGGGAGCAUGGCAUGAAAUCCAGGACUUCUCAUCUUCACUCCUAUUAAAUAGCUUGCCGGCUCCCUCCUGAAGAAAGAGGCUUCUAUGUUUAAUCUAACUCACAGAGGGAGUGGUAUUACAUGUUCAGGCAUUUGUAAAGUGGACGAAAAAAUUUCCCCUCACAUUCUAAGUUCCUUUUAUGUAGCGUUCUUGUGCAUAUGAUCACCUUGUGUAAAUUGUAUAUUAAGUCAUAAAAAAGACUAAAAUGUACCUAUACAAAAUAUUUUCCUAUUGGUGAUGAUGUUUCAGGACUAGGCUAGAGAACAGGGCAAAUGACUUUAAUUUUUCUUGAAAUGUCGCUGGUUUUCUAAGUAAAACCCUAGAUUCACUGCCUACUACAUCCUUUUGUUGAGGAUGCAGGUGAAGGAAUUUCUGAAUUUUAGAGUUUCGAGCUGUUGUUUCCUGUGGGAUGAUGAAUGAGCAGUGUUGCUCCCAGGCUCUGGUUUACGAUGGGGGAGGGGAUGCUCAGCAAGCACACAGUGACACACAGGACUUGACUUUACACUGUACAAGGGGAUUUUUAAAAUUUUGAAAUGGCUUCACACACACACACACAAAGGGAGUUUCUCUUCCCAGGAAAAUUGAAUACCCUUUCACUCUGGAUUUGUAUUUAUUUCAAAUUUGGGGUCACAAAGACAGGUCCCACUUGCAAUUUUAAGGGGAGGAUAAAUAAGGAAAAGCAGAGAAAAUGCUAGUUGUUCACACAAUUUGUUCUGCUCUCCAUAUUCCUUAUUAUCAAAGAUUUGAACGUACUUCCUAGCUUCACAGUCUUCCCUUUACAUGCAGGCCCUCGUCACAGUUGAUCUCAAUAAUGAGACUAAUUUCCAAGGGCCCUAUUUACCUGCUGUGCAGAGUCAGGCUAAACCUUGUCUCCUGGAGGGGAGGGCAAAAGGAAGGAAUUCUAGCCAGCAGCUCUACCGCACAGGAACUCAUAAAAAAGGGGGGCCCCUUGUGAUCCCAUGCUCACGGUACAGAGUCUACAAGGGUCACUUGAUGUUCAAAGACCUUUGUCCUAUGUGACAGGCAGGACUGAGGCACCAUAAAGAAAUCAGAGAGGCUGAUUCAGGAGACUGGAGCAGGCCUAACGGGAGAAGGGGCAGUCACAGAGAUGAUGACUCACCCCCAAAUCCUUAUUAGCAUUAGACUGUUAACAGUCACAUGUGAUUCUACUUGGGCUAAAACUCUGGAGUAAAACUACCAAUGACAUUUUUUGUAUGAGUGUCUUUCCUGUCAAAGUAAGCUGAUUUCUUCUACAUUAGACUGCAAUCAUCAAUAUCACAAUAAAGGACUUUUACCAGAAUUGUUUUCAAAUUCCGGAAGAUUAUUUUUGCGGAUUCUAGGGCUUUCCUGGGAAACCCUGAAACAGACAUGCACCCUAGUCCCUGUGUAUCUAGUUAUAAUCCACACAUUUGAGCAGCUAGGGAACUAGUUAUCAAUUUCUUUUCCCUCUCAAAAAUGGGAGUACUGAAAAAAAAAAAAAAAAACGGGAGCAUUCAAGUUGACUUCCAGAUGGAAAGUCAGUCAUAUAUUCUGACCAACAAGGCUGCCCUGAUGACCUAGAAGCCAUAGGCUAGUUC